AUUGAACGCUGGCGGCAGGCCUAACACAUGCAAGUCGAACGGUAACAGAAAGCAGCUUGCUGCUUUGCUGACGAGUGGCGGACGGGUGAGUAAUGUCUGGGAAACUGCCUGAUGGAGGGGGAUAACUACUGGAAACGGUAGCUAAUACCGCAUAACGUCGCAAGACCAAAGAGGGGGACCUUCGGGCCUCUUGCCAUCGGAUGUGCCCAGAUGGGAUUAGCUUGUUGGUGGGGUAACGGCUCACCAAGGCGACGAUCCCUAGCUGGUCUGAGAGGAUGACCAGCCACACUGGAACUGAGACACGGUCCAGACUCCUACGGGAGGCAGCAGUGGGGAAUAUUGCACAAUGGGCGAAAGCCUGAUGCAGCCAUGCCGCGUGUAUGAAGAAGGCCUUCGGGUUGUAAAGUACUUUCAGCGGGGAGGAAGGGAGUAAAGUUAAUACCUUUGCUCAUUGACGUUACCCGCAGAAGAAGCACCGGCUAACUCCGUG
rnacentral:rRNA from 1 species